rnacentral:rRNA from 1 species
AACGAACGCUGGCGGCAUGCCUAACACAUGCAAGUCGAACGAGACCUUCGGGCCUAGUGGCGCACGGGUGCGUAACGCGUGGGAACCUGCCCUUAGGUUCGGAAUAACUCCCCGAAAGGGGUGCUAAUACCGGAUAAUGUCCUCGGACCAAAGAUUUAUCGCCUUUGGAUGGGCCCGGGUUGGAUUAGAUAGUUGGUAGGGUAAAAGCCUAUCAAGGCGACGAUGCAUAGCUGGUCUGAGAGGAUGAUCAGCCACACUGGGACUGAGCCACGGCCCAGACUCCUACGGGAGGCAGCAGUGGGUGAUAUUGGACAGUGGGCGAAGGCCUGAUCCAGCAAUGCCGCGUGAGUGAUGAAGGCCUUAGGGUUGUAAAGCUCUUUUACCCGGGAUGAUAAUGACGGUACCGGGAGAAUAAGCUCCGGCUAACUCCGUG